UACGAAGGGGGCUAGCGUUGCUCGGAAUCACUGGGCGUAAAGCGCACGUAGGCGGAUUGCUAAGUCAGGGGUGAAAUCCUGGAGCUCAACUCCAGAACUGCCUUUGAUACUGGCGACCUUGAGUCCGGGAGAGGUGAGUGGAACUGCGAGUGUAGAGGUGAAAUUCGUAGAUAUUCGGAAGAACACCAGUGGCGAAGGCGGCUCACUGGACGACUGUUGACGCUGAGGUACGAAAGCGUGGGGAGCAAACAGG
rnacentral:rRNA from 1 species